rnacentral:rRNA from 1 species
CCUACGUGUGGCAGCAGUGAGGAAUAUUGGUCAAUGGACGAGAGUCUGAACCAGCCAAGUAGCGUGAAGGAUGACUGCCCUAUGGGUUGUCAACUUCUUUUAUAUGUGAAUACAACGUUCCACGUGUGGGAUUUUGUAUGUACCAUAUGAAUAAGUAUCGGCUAACUCCGUGCCAGCAGCCGCGGUAAUACGGAGGAUCCGAGCGUUAUCCGGCUUUAUUGGGUUUAAAGGGAGCGUAGAUGGGUUGUUAAGUCAGUUGUGAAAGUUUGCGGCUCAACCGUAAAAUUGCAAUUGAUACUGGCAGCCGUGAGUACAGUUGAGGUAGGCGGAAUUCGUGGUGUAGCGGUGAAAUGCUUAGAUAUCACGAAGAACUCCGAUUGCGAAGGCAGCCUACUAAACUGCCACUGACAUUGAUGCUCGAAAGUGUGGGUAUCAAACAGGAUUAGAUACCCCUGUAGUC